CAUGAAGCUGGAAUCGCUAGUAAUCGCGAAUCAGAAUGUCGCGGUGAAUACGUUCCCGGGUCUUGUACACACCGCCCGUCACACCAUGGGAGUUGGUAACGCCCGAAGUCAGUGACCCAACCGGAAGGAGGGAGCUGCCGAAGGCGGGCUUGAUAAUUGGGGUGAAGUCGUAACAAGGUAGC
rnacentral:rRNA from 1 species